GGGCCCGCACAAGCAGCGGAGCAUGUGGUUUAAUUCGAAGCAACGCGAAGAACCUUACCAGGACUUGACAUCGUCUGAAUCAUCCGUAAUGGGAAAAGUCCUUCGGGACAGACAGACAGGUGGUGCAUGGUUGUCGUCAGCUCGUGUCGUGAGAUGUUGGGUUAAGUCCCGCAACGAGCGCAACCCUUAUUGCUAGUUGCCAUCAUUAAGUUGGGCACUCUAGUGAGACUGCCGGAGACAAUUCGGAGGAAGGUGGGGAUGACGUCAAAUCAUCAUGCCCCUUAUGUUCUGGGCUACACACGUGCUACAAUGGGUGUAACAACGGGAAGCGAGCUGGUGACAGCAAGCCAACCUCUAAAAAGCACCCUCAGUUCGGAUUGCAGGCUGAAACCCGCCUGCAUGAAGUUGGAGUUGCUAGUAAUCGCGAAUCAGCAUGUCGCGGUGAAUACGUUCCCGGGCCUU
rnacentral:rRNA from 1 species